AUGUAACCUAUAUUAUACAGGUACAGUAUCAGGUAACCUAUAUUAUACAGGUACAGUAUCAGGUAACCUAUAUUAUACAGGUACAGUAUCAGGUAACCUAUAUUAUACAGGUACAGUAUCAGGUAACCUAUAUUAUACAGGUACAGUAUCAGGUAACCUAUAUUAUACAGGUACAGUAUCAGGUAGCCUAUAUUAUACAGGUACAUUAUCAGGUAGCCUAUAUUAUACAGGUACAUUAUCAGGUAGCCUAUAUUAUACAGGUACAUUAUCAGGUAGCCUAUAUUAUACAGGUACAUUAUCAGGUAGCCUAUAUUAUACAGGUACAUUAUCAGGUAGCCUAUAUUAUACAGGUACAUUAUCAGGUAGCCUAUAUUAUACAGGUACAUUAUCAGGUAGCCUAUAUUAUACAGGUACAGUAUCAGGUAACCUAUAUUACACAGGUACAGUAUCAGGUAACCUAUAUUAUACAGGUACAGUAUCAGGUAACCUAUAUUAUAAUAUACAGGUAUAGUAUCAGGUAGCCUAUAUUAUAAUAUACAGGUACAUUAUCAGGUAACCUAUAUUAUAAUAUACAGGUACAGUAUCAGGUAGCCUAUAUUAUAAUAUACAGGUACAGUAUCAGGUAGCCUAUAUUAUAAUAUAC